AAUUGCUCUUGCAAGCUAUAUUUGACACAUGGAUUGCUUUCAUCUUGUUAUUUUGUUUCUGUACAAAUAAUAUUUAUCCCUCAGGACAAGAAAUCAUCCAUGUGGAAUAAAGAACCCCUUCUCAAGGGCCUAUUUGUUUCCUGUAAAAAAUACACUCACAUUUGGUGAACAGAGCUCUGAAACAGAAGGAACAGAACCUGGAAUCCUUCUGGUGACACCUGGAGCUACAAGAACACCUGUGAUGUAGGUAAGUACAUCUACCAUAAAUAGUUGUCGCUCUGUUACUCACUUACUCUUUAAGGAUAUUUUAAGGGUGACUGCUGGUUGGAAUGUAUGUGAUUUCUUGGUAAGACCUUUCGAUAAGAGUUGUUGUAUGAAAGACAUUGUCAUACAUAGAUGAAGGCACCUGGCUGUCACCAUGGCUAAGCCCAUGGUUCAGCACUGUUUGUAGAUCACCAUCUUACUG
rnacentral:lncRNA from 1 species